ACUUCCCGAAUCGAUUAUUGAUCUAUUUUUGAUGUAGUCUUAGACUAUAUUAAGUGAGGUUGUAGUAUGAACCUCAAUAUCAAUCAAAAAUAGAGGCGAAAAGCAUACCACAAGUCGAGAUAGCUGGAUUUAAGGAAAAUGUAUUAAGUACAUUAUACAUGAUAAAAUUGUUUAGAAUUUUAUCUAACAGAAAAAGUUAUGUAAGUAAUUUUCUAUUAAAGAUAAGAUUAAUGUUUUAUUUAUCUAUAGCAAAAAAUCAUUUCUAUAAAUAAUGUUUCUGUUAAACUACCUUAAAGAUUAUACUAACAUUCAUGUAUUAUAGUUCUAUAAUGUUAAAAUUAGUAUAAAACAAAAAUACCCCCCAUUGAACUCGGCAAACGCCUAAUCAACUGUUUAUCAAAAACAUAGCUUGAAGAAUAUAUUUUAAGUUAAUUCUGCCCGGUGCUUUAAGUUAACGGCCGCAGUACCUUGACUGUGCUAAGGUAGCAUAAUCAAUUGGCUAUUAAUUGUAGUCUAGUAUGAAAGAAUAAAUGAUUAGGGGCUAUAAUAGGGGGUUUAGUUAAAACUUAUUUAUCAGGUGAAAAUACCUGUAAUAAGAAAAAAGACGAGAAGACCCUUAGAGUUUAAAAAAUUACACUAUAUCUGAUUAGUGGUGUUUUUUAUUGGGGCGAUAAGAAAACAUUAUUAAACUUUUCUAUCAAUGAUUGUACAGGCCGAAUUUAUUAUGGAUGGCUAAACUACCUUAGGGAUAACAGCAUAAUGAUGUAUUUUAGUUUGUGACCUCGAUGUUGGACUAGGAACUUUAACACUAGCCGUGGUAAAAGAAUGUUCUGUUCGAACAGUUGUUUCCUACAUGAUCUGAGUUCAGACCGUCGUGAGACAGGUCAGUUUCUAUCUUUUAAUUUACUCAUCCUAGUACGAAAGGACCAGAUG
rnacentral:rRNA from 1 species